rnacentral:rRNA from 1 species
GACAGAGGGUGCAAACGUUGUUCGGAAUUACUGGGCGUAAAGCGCGUGUAGGCGGCUAUGCAAGUUGGAUGUGAAAGCCCUCGGCUCAACCGGGGAAGUGCACCCGAAACUGCAAAGCUAGAGUCUCGGAGAGGAUCGUGGAAUUCUCGGUGUAGAGGUGAAAUUCGUAGAUAUCGGGAGGAACACCGGUGGCGAAGGCGGCGACCUGGGUAGAUACUGACGCUGAGGCGCGAAAGCGUGGGGAGCAAACAGG